UACACUAGAUAAAGUCCCGCCUCUUUGAUGCUACAAACGGCCCCUCCCCUCUCCGCUCUCUGCGGUUCGGCUCAUCAAAUACACACACAGAGCACGCGGACUGGCGCAGCCAGCGGGAAAAUACCUACAGUCACUUCCUCUCAAGCAGCCUACGCUACCCGUACAGCGCAGGACGCGAGGUGUGGGGGGAUGAAACUGUUUUAAAACAGGUGUCAGUAACCUCUUCGUCCUGAAUGCGGUGAACUCCUGCGCUUCGUGUCUCUGACAUGAAAACACGCUGCGCGCGCCAGAUUCCAUCGCUUUCACUUGUCCUCAGCGAGCAGCCGCGAUGGUUUAAUGUCCUGUUUAAUGGUCGAGAGAUGUGGUGCGGUCACGUUUAAAUGGUCGGAGCAGAAUGUCAGACGGGUUCGCAUGCUGGCAUGGUGAGAGGGCCAAUCAAACAGC